rnacentral:rRNA from 1 species
AGCAGCCGCGGUAAAUUCCAGCUCCAAUAGCGUAUAUUAAAGUUGUUGCAGUUAAAAAGCUCGUAGUUGAAUUUCGGGAUCAAUAUAUCGGUCGUGCCAUUGGUACGUACUGGUAUCAUUGGUUUCUCCUUUCUGACGAACCAUGAUGUCAUUAAUUUGGUGUUAUGGGAAGUUAGGACUGUUACUUUGAAAAAAUUAGAGUGUUUAAAGCAGGCUUUAGCUUGAAUACAUUAGCAUGGAAUAAUGAAAUAGGACGUUCGAACCUAUUUUGUUGGUUUCUAGGAUCAACGUAAUGAUUAAUAGGGAUAGUUGGGGGCAUUAGUAUUCAAUUGUCAGAGGUGAAAUUCUUGGAUUUAUUGAAGACUAACUACUGCGAAAGCAUUUGCCAAGGAUGUUUU